rnacentral:rRNA from 1 species
GAUGAACGCUGACAGAAUGCUUAACACAUGCAAGUCUACUUGAUCCUUCGGGUGAUGGUGGCGGACGGGUGAGUAACGCGUAAAGAACUUGCCUUGCAGUCUGGGACAACGUCUGGAAACGGACGCUAAUACCGGAUAUUAUGAUUGAAUCGCAUGAUUUGAUUAUGAAAGCUAUAUGCGCUGCGAGAGAGCUUUGCGUCCCAUUAGUUAGUUGGUGAGGUAACGGCUCACCAAGACGAUGAUGGGUAGCCGGCCUGAGAGGGUGAACGGCCACAAGGGGACUGAGACACGGCCCUUACUCCUACGGGAGGCAGCAGUGGGGAAUAUUGGACAAUGGACCAAAAGUCUGAUCCAGCAAUUCUGUGUGCACGAUGAAGUUUUUCGGAAUGUAAAGUGCUUUCAGUUGGGAAGAAGAAAGUGACGGUACCAACAGAAGAAGCGACGGCUAAAUACGUGCCAGCAGCCGCCGUAA